AUCUUCCCCAUCAUGACCACUGCACCUUAUAAUGAUAAACGAGUACUCGGCUGAAGUACCUCCCCAGAGGAUUCUUACGGCAAAAAUCGUAAUCAAACCAAUCACAGAAAGUGAAUUAAAGCCCUGUUUCAGGAAAAAGAAAAGAAGCGGUCAAACAAAAACCCAAAAUGAUUUAAGGAGAUUUUAAGUGGGGUUUACAUACCUAGCUUCUUUCCUUCACUUUUCUCUUUGUUUUUUAUCCUUUGACAUGAUCAGGGCUUACUUGUGAUGUUGAAUAUGUAUUUGGUAGCACCACCCGGAGACAAUACAAGAUAACCACCACCACAUGCCUAUUGUAUGCAGAACCCCAAGCACACCAGCUCGCGAGGGUUAGUUUUGUGUACACCUUUUUGGGUUUAGAGUCUCUAGUUUUAUCUUGCUUUAAAUUCAUCAAGAAACCGACUUUAGUUCCCAACCAAUUUGUAUAAGAAUGACCUAGAUUCCUUUUCAAUGACGUGACUAAUCCUAGAGCAACCCUCCAACUUUUAUAUCACCGCAAAACGAACAGCCUCAUAGGCUCUCCUCAUGUUGUGGCUCAUGUCAGAAUGAUUCACCUGGAAUGGUGACACUGUUCUAUAGCUUCCUUCUCUUACUUCGCGUCUAGGUUGAUGUGACAAUGAAAAGCCAUACACACAGAGCACAGAAGCUUUUUCCUUCGAUUCCAGGAAUAUAUCAUUUCUCAUUUACCAAAUUACCAAACUUUUGCCCAGUUGCAGUCUGGAAGGUACUAUAUAAAAGGAUGGUAAACGUGACUGUAGUAACGUACAGCAUUUUAUUUCCACUGAAUAUAUAUGAAUGACCUCUUUUAUUGUUACCCAGACAAUAAUUGCAUUAAAAUGGACUAUUAUAGCUCUCAAUGAAUAGUAUGAGUGACAAAGAUGUAUGACAAAAAUAAGAACACUUAAGCUAAAAAACAUGAAUUUAAAACUUGCUAGAGACAUGUAAAAUCAAAUUCUUGACCUAAAAUGUCGUGGGUGGCAAACAGUUUCAAGUGUCACUUAAGUAAGUUUGUGAAUUUGUAAACAAAGCCUUUAGAGGGUUUUCCAUGUAAUGACACCGAUGAGAGCAGCUUCACAAAAAUUUGCAUUCCUGUAUGUAUUUUUGUUGCCAGAUUAGUCUGUCUUCUUCUGGCCACUAAAGUGAAGCACUUUUCUGACUGAAAAAAGUCACUCUAAGAAAGGCAUAAAAAAUUCAUAGAAUGGGUGCGAGGUAAAAGUAGGCUUUGCUAUGGAAAUGUCACUAGAGCCACAAACUUAUAAAUUAGAAUAUCAUUACGCCACUCUGAAAUAUUGUACUACAAGUCUCUAUUCAAUAGAAAAUGACAUAACAACAUAAACAAA